rnacentral:rRNA from 1 species
UACGGAGGGAGCUAGCGUUGUUCGGAAUUACUGGGCGUAAAGCGCACGUAGGCGGCUUUUUAAGUCAGAGGUGAAAUCCCGGGGCUCAACCCCGGAACUGCCUUCGAAACUGGAGAGCUAGAAUCUUGGAGAGGCGAGUGGAAUUCCGAGUGUAGAGGUGAAAUUCGUAGAUAUUCGGAAGAACACCAGUGGCGAAGGCGGCUCGCUUGACAAGUAUUGACGCUGAGGUGCGAAAGCGUGGGGAGCAAACAGG